UACGAAGGGGGCUAGCGUUGUUCGGAAUUACUGGGCGUAAAGCGUGCGUAGGCGGUUAUUCAAGUCAGAGGUGAAAGCCCGAGGCUCAACCUCGGAACUGCCUUCGAUACUGCGGGUCUCGAGUCCGGGAGAGGUGAGUGGAAUUCCUAGUGUAGAGGUGAAAUUCGUAGAUAUUAGGAAGAACACCAGUGGCGAAGGCGGCUCACUGGCCCGGUACUGACGCUGAGGUGCGAAAGCGUGGGGAGCAAACAGG
rnacentral:rRNA from 1 species